UCCACCGUAUCCCACUCCUCUUGUUCUUCCUCUCACUCUCCGCUAUCUCUGCCUCCGAAUCAGACACACCCAUUUCCCGUUUCCAAAAUUACCUCAGAAUCAACACUGCCCACCCUAAUCCAAACUACACUUCUCCCAUCACUUACCUCAUCAACUUCGCCAACUCUAUCCCAAACCUCCACUCCAAAGUUCUGCACCUAACCCCCACCAUACCCCUCCUAUUAUUAACCUGGCCCGGUACCUCCAACCCUUCACUCCCCUCCAUUCUUUUCAACUCCCAUCUCGACUCC
rnacentral:lncRNA from 1 species